UACGUAGGGGGCCAGCGUUGCUCGGAAUUACUGGGCGUAAAGGGAGCGUAGGCGGGUGCUUAAGUUGGAUGUUUAAAACCGGGGCCCAACCCCGGCGUGGCAUUCAAAACUGGGCAUCUUGAAUGGGACAGAGGCCAGUGGAAUUGGAGGUGUAGCGGUGGAAUGCGUAGAGAUCUCCAAGAACACCAGUUGCGAAGGCGGCUGGCUGGGUCCACAUUGACGCUGAGGCUCGAAAGCGUGGGGAGCAAACAGG
rnacentral:rRNA from 1 species